rnacentral:rRNA from 1 species
AGAGUUUGAUCCUGGCUCAGAUUGAACGCUGGCGGUAUGCUUAACACAUGCAAGUCGAACGGUAACAGGCCUUCGGGCGCUGACGAGUGGCGGACGGGUGAGUAACGCGUAGGAAUCUGCCUCAUAGUGGGGGACAACUUGGGGAAACUCAAGCUAAUACCGCAUACGCCCUACGGGGGAAAGCGGGGGACCUUCGGGCCUCGCGCUAUGAGAUGAGCCUGCGUUAGAUUAGCUAGUUGGUGGGGUAAAGGCCUACCAAGGCGACGAUCUAUAGCUGGUCUGAGAGGACGAUCAGCCACACUGGGACUGAGACACGGCCCAGACUCCUACGGGAGGCAGCAGUGGGGAAUAUUGGACAAUGGGCGCAAGCCUGAUCCAGCAAUACCGCGUGUGUGAAGAAGGCCUGAGGGUUGUAAAGCACUUUCAAUUGGGAGGAAAACCUGUCGGUCAAUACCCGGCAGCUUGACAUUACCUUUAGAAGAAGCACCGGCUAACUCCGUGCCAGCAGCCGCGGUAAUACGGAGGGUGCGAGCGUUAAUCGGAAUUACUGGGCGUAAAGCGUGCGUAGGCGGUUAUUUAAGUCAGAUGUGAAAGCCCCGGGCUUAACCUGGGAACUGCAUUUGAUACUGGGUAACUAGAGUUUAGUAGAGGAGAGUGGAAUUUCAGGUGUAGCGGUGAAAUGCGUAGAGAUCUGAAGGAACACCAGUGGCGAAGGCGACUCUCUGGACUAAAACUGACGUUGAGGUACGAAAGCGUGGGUAGCAAACAGGAUUAGAUACCCUGGUAGUCCACGCCGUAAACGAUGUCAACUAGCCGUUGGGCCUUUUAACAGGCUUAGUGGCGCAGCUAACGCAUUAAGUUGACCGCCUGGGGAGUACGGCCGCAAGGUUAAAACUCAAAUGAAUUGACGGGGGCCCGCACAAGCGG